rnacentral:ncRNA from 17 species
AAAUAUGCUUGUUUUCAACUUAAUUUUCAUAUUUAUUUCAAGUGUUUAACGUUCUUUUUUUUGGGGGCAGAAUGCGUAAGUUUGUUAAGAGAACCGCAAUUUGUGGAUCGCUCUUAUUGAUAGCGAUUUUUAUGAUGAAUAGUUGGAGCGGUAUUCAGAGCGGGCAUAACGCAUUUCGUCCAGUCUCAAAAUCAAAACCAGCAUCAAGUGAGACUUGUAAAGAGUAUAACGAAAAGGGUUUUAUCGGAAAAUUGUUUGAUUUUUCUGCACGUGGUUGGUGCGAUUGAUUAAAGAGGCUUCGGCCUCUUUUUUUGACGCU